UGGACACCAUUCUCCAGGCCUAGGGCAGUCUAGCACAUGAUCAGAAUCCACAGAGAGAACCAGUGAAUCCAUGAAUCCAUCAAUCAAAGUCCAGGACUUAUGCCCUACUUUGUCCCAAAAUGAACUUACAUCUGCUAUCAAAAUACAAAACAUUGAAUAAACAAUAAAGGGAAAAUUAUAAGAAAAACAACAUGGUGUCACGUGCAUACCCUGCACACUUGGAGAAAUCAGACCACACAAUGGUUGCAAGGACCCAGAAGCCACUGCAAACUUGGUAGCCCCAGCAACCCUACAAUUCAGACUGACCCUGGGCACAAAGAAAGCAUCAUUUGGAAGAAACAGCUCUUACUAGCACUGGCCCAUGGCAGAAUCCCUACUGAUGCUCCCAUGGUGACUGAGUCCUGAACAGCAUCCUUAAGGAAGACACAAAAGUCCUGGGCAGCUCUUCCUUCCAAGCUGCAUCCAAGCCAGCUCACGUUGCCCCACAGGCCAGGCAGGACACUCUGUUCUAAGGACAGCAAAACAAUAAGGGACUUCCUCUACCAACACUGCAGUCUUGAACUUCUGCCUGCUGUGGGCUUGGUGCUGCCGCUGCUGCCCCAGGCUCCAGGCAACACCAGGUACAGCAGAUGCGAGUCUUAUACCACGCUCAGCACACGUCACAGACACGUCCUGUAUCCACCGUUCCUGUUCACACUUUAGAAGACCCCAAAGGAAGUGUGAACUGAGAUGACCUGCCAAAGUCUUUUAUGACCAGAUAAAGGUGGAAACAAACAGAAACAUUAAAUAUUACC